rnacentral:rRNA from 1 species
GACGAACGCUGGCGGCGUGCCUAAUACAUGCAAGUAGAACGCUGAAGGAGGAGCUUGCUUCUCUGGAUGAGUUGCGAACGGGUGAGUAACGCGUAGGUAACCUGCCUGGUAGCGGGGGAUAACUAUUGGAAACGAUAGCUAAUACCGCAUAAGAGUAGAUGUCGCAUGACAUUUGCUUAAAAGGUGCAAUUGCAUCACUACCAGAUGGACCUGCGUUGUAUUAGCUAGUUGGUGAGGUAACGGCUCACCAAGGCAACGAUACAUAGCCGACCUGAGAGGGUGAUCGGCCACACUGGGACUGAGACACGGCCCAGACUCCUACGGGAGGCAGCAGUAGGGAAUCUUCGGCAAUGGACGGAAGUCUGACCGAGCAACGCCGCGUGAGGGAAGAAGGUUUUCGGAUCGUAAAGCUCUGUUGUAAGAGAAGAACGAGUGUGAGAGUGGAAAGUUCACACUGUGACGGUAUCUUACCAGAAAGGGACGGCUAACUACGUG